GGCCGGAUGGUGUAGUUGGUUAUCACGUAUCGUUAACACCGAUAAGGUCUUGGGAUCGAGCCCCAGUCUGGUCA
rnacentral:tRNA from 1 species